rnacentral:rRNA from 1 species
GGGUGGGUAACACGUAGGGAACCUGCCCGCGCACCGGGAAUACGCUCUGGAAACGGAGAACAAAUCCCGAUGUACAGGAAGGAGGCAUCUUCUUUCUGUGAAACAUCCUUUCGGGGAUGGGGCGCGGAUGGACCUGCGGUGCAUUAGUUGGUUGGCGGGGUAAAGGCCCACCAAGACGAUGAUGCAUAGCCGGCCUGAGAGGGCGGACGGCCACAUUGGGACUGAGACACGGCCCAGACUCCUGCGGGAGGCAGCAGUAGGGAAUUUUCGUCAAUGGGCGCAAGCCUGAACGAGCGAUGCCGCGUGAGUGAAGAAGGCCUUCGGGUCGUAAAGCUCUGUUGCGGGGGAAAAAAGGCAGCAUCAGGAAAUGGGUGCUGACUGAUGGUGCCCCGCCAGAAAGUCACGGCUAACUACGUGCCAGCAGCCGCGGUAGUACGUAGGUGGCGAGCGUUAUCCGGAAUGAUUGGGCGUAAAGGGUGCGCAGGCGGUCCUGCAAGUCUGGAGUGAAACGCAUGAGCUCAACUCAUGCAUGGCUUUGGAAACUGGAGGACUGGAGAGCAGGAGAGGGCGGUGGAACUCCAUGUGUAGCGGUAAAAUGCGUAGAUAUAUGGAAGAACACCAGUGGCGAAGGCGGCCGCCUGGCCUGUUGCUGACGCUGAGGCACGAAAGCGUGGGGAGCAAAUAGGAUUAGAUACCCUAGUAGUCCACGCCGUAAACGAUG